UGGGGAAUAUUGCACAAUGGGCGGAAGCCUGAUGCAGCAACGCCGCGUGCGGGAUGACGGCCUUCGGGUUGUAAACCGCUUUCGCCUGUGACGAAGCGUGAGUGACGGUAAUGGGUAAAGAAGCACCGGCUAACUACGUGCCAGCAGCCGCGGUGAUACGUAGGGUGCGAGCGUUGUCCGGAUUUAUUGGGCGUAAAGGGCUCGUAGGUGGUUGAUCGCGUUGGAAGUGUAAUCUUGGGGCUUAACCCUGAGCGUGCUUUCGAUACGGGUUGACUUGAGGAAGGUAGGGGAGAAUGGAAUUCCUGGUGGAGCGGUGGAAUGCGCAGAUAUCAGGAGGAACACCAGUGGCGAAGGCGGUUCUCUGGGCCUUUCCUGACGCUGAGGAGCGAAAGCGUGGGGAGCGAGCAGGCUUAGAUACCCUGGUAGUCCACGCUGUAAACGGUGGGUGCUAGGUGUGGGGUCCAUUCCACGGGUUCCGUGCCGUAGCUAACGCUUUAAGUACCCCGCCUGGGGAGUACGGCCGCAAGGCUA
rnacentral:rRNA from 1 species